GCGGAUGACCUCCAAACUGUAUUUCCAUCAAUCUUUUCUCAAGAUCGUGAAUCUUCUGUCUAAGACCUUAUUCCCAAUAUGAUUUCUUAUUUUAUGAAGUAGAUUUAGCUUCUCAAGAUUGAUCAACGUGAUCAAGAAGAUGAUGAUCAUGAUAAAGAUCUUGAUGAAUUGGUUGCUAGUGUGGCAAGAUUGAGCUUCUUAAGAGGCCACCUCUCGUUGUUGUUCAAUGG
rnacentral:lncRNA from 1 species